ensembl:snoRNA
UGUACCUAUGAUAAUGACUGGUGGCAGAUGAGUUUGGAUGAUGAAUCCUGUGUAUCUAGAACUCUGAGGUCCAG